rnacentral:rRNA from 1 species
GAAUUUAAUAAAAUAAUUUAAAUAAGUAUAUUUAAAUUAUUUUAUUUAAUUGGGAGGAUUUUUAAAUUUAUAUAACUUUAAAUAAUAAUUAAACAUUAAUUUAUGAAAUUUAUUAAAUAAAUAAAUAUUAUUUAAAUAAAAAUUAAUUACCUUAGGGAUAACAGCAUAAAAUUUUUUUGUAGAUCUUAUAUAUAAAAAUAUUUGU